rnacentral:rRNA from 1 species
GUUUACGGCCAUGCCACCCUGAACAAGCCUGAUCCCAUCUGAUCUCGGAAGCUAAGCAGGGUCGGGCCUGGUUAGUACUUGGAUGGGAGACCACCUAGGAACACCAGGUGCUAUAGGUG